rnacentral:rRNA from 1 species
AUUGAACGCUGGCGGCAUGCCUUACACAUGCAAGUCGAACGGCAGCACGGGAGCAAUCCUGGUGGCGAGUGGCGAACGGGUGAGUAAAGUAUCGGAACGUGCCCAGUCGUGGGGGAUAACGUAGCGAAAGUUACGCUAAUACCGCAUACGAUCUAUGGAUGAAAGCGGGGGAUCGCAAGACCUCGCGCGAUUGGAGCGGCCGAUAACAGAUUAGGUAGUUGGUGGGGUAAAGGCUCACCAAGCCGAAGAUCUGUAGCUGGUCUGAGAGGACGACAAGCCACGCUGGGACUGAGACACGGCCCAGACUCCUACGGGAGGCAGCAGUGGGGAAUUUUGGACAAUGGGCGAAAGCCUGAUCCAGCCAUGCCGCGUGCAGGAUGAAGGCCUUCGGGUUGUAAACUGCUUUUGUACGGAACGAAAAGGUUUGGCCUAAUAAGCUGAGCUCAUGACGGUACCGUAAGAAUAAGCACCGGCUAACUACGUGCCAGCCGCCGCCGUAAAAC